GACGAACGCUGGCGGCGCGCUUAACACAUGCAAGUCGAACGGAAAGGCCUGCUUUCCCUUGUGGAUUGCGGGUACUCGAGUGGCGAACGGGUGAGUAACACGUGAGUGAUCUGCCCCCAACUUGGGUAUAAGCCUGGGAAACUGGGUCUAAUUCCCGAUAGGACUGCAGGGUGGUGCCUGUGGUGGAAAACGAUUUUCUAGUGGUUGGGGAUGAGCUCGCGGCCUAUCAGCUUGUUGGUGGGGUAAUGGCCUACCAAGGCGGCGACGGGUAGCCGGUCUGGGAGGGUGGACGGCCACAUUGGGACUGAGAUACGGCCCAGACUCCUACGGGAGGCAGCAGUGGGGAAUAUUGCACAAUGGGCGGAAGCCUGAUGCAGCGACGCCGCGUGGGGGAUGACGGCCUUCGGGUUGUAAACUCCUUUCGACCGCGAGGAAGCCACCUGGUUGGAAGGGUGGUGACGGUAGUGGUAGAAGAAGCACCGGCUAACUACGUG
rnacentral:rRNA from 1 species